rnacentral:rRNA from 1 species
UACCAUGCAGUCGACGAGCUCUUCGGAGCUAGUGGCAGACGGGUGAGUAACGCGUGGGAACGUGCCUUUCGGUUCGGAAUAACUCAGGGAAACUUGAAUUAAUACCGGAUACGCCCUUCGGGGGAAAGAUUUAUCGCCGAAAGAUCGGCCCGCGUCUGAUUAGCUAGUUGGUGAGGUAAGAGCUCACCAAGGCGACGAUCAGUAGCUGGUCUGAGAGGAUGAUCAGCCACACUGGGACCGAGACACGGCCCAGACUCCUACGGGAGGCAGCAGUGGGGAAUAUUGGACAAUGGGCGCAAGCCUGAUCCAGCCAUGCCGCGUGAGUGAUGAAGGCCUUAGGGUUGUAAAGCUCUUUUGUCCGGGAAGGUAAUGACUGUACCGGAAGAAUAAGCCCCGGCUAACUUCGUGCCAGCAGCCGCGGUAAUACGAAGGGGGCUAGCGUUGCUCGGAAUCACUGGGCGUAAAGGGCGCGUAUGCGGACUUUUAAGUCGGAAGUGAAAGCCCAGGGCUCAACCCUGGAAUUGCCUUCGAUACUGGGAGUCUUGAGUUCGGAAGAAGUUGGUGGAACUGCGAGUGUAGAGGUGAAAUUCCUAGAUAUUCGCAAUA